AGAGUUUGAUCAUGGCUCAGGACGAACGCUGGCGGCGUGCUUAACACAUGCAAGUCGAACGGAAAGGCCCUUCGGGGUACUCGAGUGGCGAACGGGUGAGUAACACGUGGGUGAUCUGCCCUGCACUUUGGGAUAAGCCUGGGAAACUGGGUCUAAUACCGAAUAGGACCGCGCUCUUCAUGGGGUGUGGUGGAAAGCUUUUGCGGUGUGGGAUGGGCCCGCGGCCUAUCAGCUUGUUGGUGGGGUAAUGGCCUACCAAGGCGACGACGGGUAGCCGGCCUGAGAGGGUGACCGGCCACACUGGGACUGAGAUACGGCCCAGACUCCUACGGGAGGCAGCAGUGGGGAAUAUUGCACAAUGAGCGCAAGCCUGAUGCAGCGACGCCGCGUGAGGGAUGACGGCCUUCGGGUUGUAAACCUCUUUCAAUAGGGACGAAGCGCAAGUGACGGUACCUAUAGAAGAAGGACCGGCCAACUACGUGCCAGCAGCCGCGGUAAUACGUAGGGUCCGAGCGUUGUCCGGAAUUACUGGGCGUAAAGAGCUCGUAGGUGGUUUGUCGCGUUGUUCGUGAAAACUCACAGCUUAACUGUGGGCGUGCGGGCGAUACGGGCAGACUAGAGUACUGCAGGGGAGACUGGAAUUCCUGGUGUAGCGGUGGAAUGCGCAGAUAUCAGGAGGAACACCGGUGGCGAAGGCGGGUCUCUGGGCAGUAACUGACGCUGAGGAGCGAAAGCGUGGGGAGCGAACAGGAUUAGAUACCCUGGUAGUCCAA
rnacentral:rRNA from 1 species